rnacentral:rRNA from 1 species
CCUACGGGAGGCAGCAGUGGGGAAUAUUGGGCAAUGGGCGCAAGCCUGACCCAGCAACGCCGCGUGAAGGAAGAAGGCUUUCGGGUUGUAAACUUCUUUUGUCAGGGAAGAGUAGAAGACGGUACCUGACGAAUAAGCCACGGCUAACUACGUGCCAACAGCCGCGGUAAUACGUAGGUGGCAAGCGUUGUCCGGAUUUACUGGGUGUAAAGGGCGUGUAGCCGGGUUGACAAGUCAGAUGUGAAAUCCUGCGGCUCAACCUGUGGCCUGCAUUUGAAACUGUGUUUCUUGAGUACUGGAGAGGCAGACGGAAUUCCUAGUGUAGCGGUGAAAUGCGUAGAUAUUAGGAGGAACCCCGAUUGCGAAGGCAGCAUACCGGUGCACAACUGACGCUCAGGCACGAAAGCGUGGGUAUCGAACAGGAUUAGAUACCCCAGUAGUC